rnacentral:ncRNA from 1 species
UCGGUGGCCUGUCCCGCCGGUUGCCGCCGGUGGACGACGGCGACAACUCCAUACGUCUCUCGGGCGGGGGAAGCCGGUGACAAUCCGGCGCUGACCCGCAACCGUGAAUCGUGCGCCGUCCGCAUGAUGAGCCGGAUCACCCGCCGGAGACGAGCGGCUUCA